AUUUCGUUGUUGUUCUGCUGAUUUCUUCUGCUAUUGUUCUUCUACCAUGAAUCCUGAAUCAAGAAAAAUUAGUGCUCUUCGAAUUACACAAAGACCCAAUUCUUCUUCAAGUGAAAGUAAAGAAAUGCAAAAGAAGAAACCUUGUAUCGAUAAUGAACCUCAAAAUAAGGAAUCUCAUAAGAGGAAGUCUUCGCAUAGUAAAGAAGCUUCUGAUGCUGAAAUGGUUGAUGGCAAAAAAACAGAAAGUUAAAAAGUCUCGCAAAUUCGUACCUCUCUCCUCAAAUCUUUCUAUUUUCAAUUUUACUGCUGUAGAUGUUGUUCCUGUAUCUACAGUUCAACCUUCGCACACUGAUCCUCAUACUAUGCCAACAACAAGUCAAAUUCCUGAGAAAGAUGUAUCUGUUACCUAUACAUUUUCCCAAGAUUUUGAAAAGAAUGUUCCCGCUACUCCUUCACCAAAAAAUCGUCUUAUGGAUGAGAAUGCUUAUAUUUCGUAUGACGAGCUCUUUAAAAAUACCCCCCUGUUUCCUCUGCGAAUCCAUCGCAUAUAAUUUUUCCUUCACCCCCUAUUGCAUCUGCGAAUCCAUCGCAUAUAAUUUUUCCUUCACCCAUUAGUUCUAGUUCUCAUCCGAACCUUCCUCAAGAUAAAUCCACCAUUCCAACAACUUCUACUAUUCCCCCUUCUCUUUCUUUAUUAGAUUCUCUCCCUUUGAAUAAAAAGGGUUUAGAUAGCGUAAAAUUGGCUACACAAACUCUUUCUGAUGUUAUCAACUCUGCCCAAUCUUUAACCGAUGAUCCUUCCAAACUUCGCUCAUGUUCUGCCUUAAGUCAGCUUUUUCGGGGAUUUCCUAUUGAUAAGGCUUAGCGAGAUGAGAUCCUUUCUCAAAUUGACCCGAGUUUCCACACUGCUCUAGAUGUUUUGGAAUCUCAUCGUCGUAUGAUGUUAGCUGAAAAGCAUUUUGAGUCUAGCUGUUCUCAAUUGGAACUCUCGCAGAAAAAUAUUUCUUUGGAAAAGGAAAUACAAAGAUUAAGAGGGGAACUUCAGAUUUCAAAUUAUGAGACUGAAAAUCUUCGCAGCGAUAAUCAGAAACUUAGAGGUAUUUAUCUUUAUUUUUGGGUCUCUUAUCGUAUUCUUUAUUUCUUCACAUACGUUUAUUUUUACGAAUUUCUUCAUGCAUUUGUUAAGAUUUAAACCAGAAGCGAACGAAUGAGAGAUAUGAAUUUCAAUUCCUUGCCGAAUAUUCCCAAGCGAAUAACGCGAAGUUACAGUGUCAACUAAAUCAAUUAAAUCAUCAAUAUUCAUAUGCACAUAAUCAGAUUGACCAUCUUUCUCAUGAAAAUGACCGUCUUGCUCAAAAAAUCGAUAUUCUUAAUGAUCAAAUUGCUUAUUUUUCUAAGUUAAUCACACGAUGCUGACUUACUUCAUCAAACCUUAUCAGAAGAGAACCACACCCUUCUAGGGAAAAAUUGUCUUUUUCAAAGAAAGAAGUAAUGUUUUCACAACAGUACUCACUUCUUCAUGAAAUAAAUGAAAACCAAGCGCGAACUCUUCGUGUACAGAAGGAACAGUACGAAACUUCGCUUAAAGAUCUGAACUCCCAAAAUGAGAAAUUAAUUCAGAAUAACGUAAAUCUUUCUGUAAAGAAGAAUCAAUUUCAAGAACAAUAUAGCCAGCUGAAGAAUUCUUAUGACGUUCUUAAGAAAAAAACAAAUCUCUUUCUUCCGAAGAAAAGAAAAUUCGCUCUCGCCUCAGUGGUUCAGUUGGUGAUGGAUUUGAUAAGUCCAUGGAAAGUAUGAAGGACAAUACCCUUGAUUUUUCCAAAUUCUUACAAGAUUCUGAAGCAUCGCAUCAAUCUGCUGUCGCUCAGCUGAAUUAUGAGUUAUCCAAAAUUCGCAAAGAAUAUGCUAAUCUGGAAUUAUCUCGUGGUAAUCUUGAGCUUUCUCUUUCUGCGUCUCGAAAUAGGGCACGAAGAAGGUUUGCGUUCCAAAAGAAUUUUCUAGAGAUAAAUGCUAGAAAUCUUGAAAGGGCUGCUAUUCGCAAAGGCCACUCUAGUGCUCAAACUGUUAUCGAUGGAAUCUUUCUAGCAAUUCUCUUCCAGCAGUAAGGCUCCCUGUAUGCAAUGUGGGUGAAGAUGAAGAAUACCCUGAACCAGAUAGCGAUUUUGACUUUUUAAGCGAUGAUGAGAAAGAUCAAGGUGAUGAGGAAAUUCAGCAAGAAGGAGAGAAAUCUACAAAUGAUGCCGGCAUUGAGAUUGAAAAUCCUGGGUCCAGCGCUAAAAUCUGAUGUUACCAUUUGUCUUUCUUUUGAUGUUUUUUGGUCUUUUGCACCCCUUUAAAUUUGUUUGU